rnacentral:rRNA from 1 species
UACAGAGGGUGCGAGCGUUAAUCGGAAUUACUGGGCGUAAAGCGUGCGCAGGCGGUGAUGUAAGACAGAUGUGAAAUCCCCGGGCUCAACCUGGGAACUGCGUUUGUGACUGCAUCACUCGAGUACGGCAGAGGGAGGUGGAAUUCCACGUGUAGCGGUGAAAUGCGUAGAUAUGUGGAAGAAUACCGGUGGUGAAGACGGUUUUCUGGGCUAAAA